rnacentral:lncRNA from 1 species
GCCCAGAGAGGACAAGGAAUUUGGGGAAGGUGAUAGCUUAUAGACCCAUUGCCUGGUUUUAGAAUCCAUGUGUCAGCACCCCAUUUUGUUACAUGAGACUGGUUUGGUUCAAUGUCCUGGUUGGUAUGAGAGGCAACCCAGCCUAGUGGAAAGAGUUUGGCUGUUGAGUUAGACAAAAUCUAGCCCCGCCAUGUACCAGUUGGACCACUAGGCAAUAUGCUUCAACCAUCUUGGCUUUGGGCUCUUCCGUACAAUGGAGUUUUCACUUCUGUCUCAUCUCUAAGAGACUUCAUAUUGCAGAGUUGCAGAACGAGAACUGGGAGACACACAUGUCCCACAUGGUGUCUUCAUUUUUUGCUUUUAAUUGAAUUUGUUGCAGACAUUUAACAAUUUAUAUAAACCCUGAUGUCUAGCUCCUCUUGGCAAGUCAGAAGUCCUGGCAGCACCCGUUAGCAGGAGCAAACAGCUGCCCCUUGGAUGGAAGACAAGCCUCCCAGUGUGGCACAGUCCCCUCCUUUCUCCGUUCAUUUCUUACAGUUGGUCUGCUUUGCUCCUUGACCCACCUACCUGACCUCAGUAAGCAUGUCCAUUUUCAGGGCCUCCUGCGGAGAUGAGGUAUAUCAGGGGGGAACAUUAUUGUAAAUGAUCGAGAAGCUUUCCUUACUUUUAAUUUAAAAUGUUAUUUGCUUCCUUUGUAGAGCCAUGGGAUUGUUUUCUCCAGACAGAUGACUUUUUCCUGUUAGCUUCACACGAGAUUUAGGAGGCACGAGGAUAGUAAGAUGAAAAUGGAGCAAUAUGGGUACAGCAGCAUAGAUGCUGCAACUUCCCGAGUCACCUCUGCCCCAGCAUGAGGCAGAAAGAAGAGGGAGAGGACCUAGAUGGAUGAAGCAGCCACAUAGAAAGAGUGCUACUCAGUUGGGCUUUAUCGUCAAUGAAGACAUAAUAAAAAGAAGAUUUGUAUUUAUCAUAGAGGAGCUUUCUAUCCAAUAUAUAGAAGCCACUAAUGAUGUUCUCUGAGGCUGGAAGAGCACAUUGGCCUGCACAGCCAAUCCCAGAAAUGAUGGGUUCCUGCUGGAAAUGAUGACCCGUGUGCUGCACGCACGACAAGCCUUUGAGACAGAUGAUCUAGGCAUCUUCUGCUCCUGCUGAUGGGCUGCCACUUCUGGGAGCCAGGCUUUGGCCUUCAGUCCCCAGACAGACACUGAAGGGGGAUGCAGAGAGAAAGAGAGAGGAAGAACAAGCUGACCACCCAAAAUUAAUAGGUCUCAUGAAAUGGAGUGCCUACAGGGCACAGGUGUCAAAUUGGGAUGGGAUGGGGAGAGGGAAAGACAGAAGGAGGAAGGAGGAAGGUGGUGUGGAAGGGAGGAAGAAAGAGAAUAUGAGAGUUCAAGGGACAUGGAAGAUUAAUUGGAAGAGCAUACAUACUAAACCCAAAGCAAAUAUCCAAAUGUCACCAUGAGUAAUACAAGGGACUGAGGAAGAAAUUCCCUUGCGUGAGGCCGCACAAAGCUUGGCACUGGAGCUGCUGUGCCACCCCUCACACCUGGCCACUGCCGUCAACUCCCAGGGGGAGCAUUCUGGUCACCUGAGCUCCUGACUCAGAGUCUAACAAAGGCUCUUAGCUUUCACACCAUCCUGUAUUUGGGAGAUUGCCAUUUCUUUCCUUCAUUGCCCAGGAUGAGCAAGCUGCUGGCAUUUCUAUGUCAGCCACAGAAGCUGUGAUGAGGAGAGCAAGGAAAUGCAUGGAAAAGGACAGGUGAUUCCUGCACAGCUCCCUCCGGAGAUCUGCAGGCAGCAUUUCCCCCAGGAAUGUUCCUCUCUAGAACUCCAUCAUGUGAGCAUCACUUGCCUGUCCACUGGGUCAUGAGCCUUUCUUCUGCAGGCUUAGGUAAGUCUACAAGACCCCCAGACAGACCUUCUGUCCCCUCAAUGGAACCCGCCAUGGUUUGUGUGUGUUGUGAGCAACCUUGU